CAGCAGCCGCGGGAAUACGGAGGGUGCAAGCGUUAAUCGGAAUUACUGGGCGUAAAGCGCACGCAGGCGGUUUGUUAAGUCAGAUGUGAAAUCCCCGAGCUUAACUUGGGAACUGCAUUUGAAACUGGCAAGCUAGAGUCUUGUAGAGGGGGGUAGAAUUCCAGGUGUAGCGGUGAAAUGCGUAGAGAUCUGGAGGAAUACCGGUGGCGAAGGCGGCCCCCUGGACAAAGACUGACGCUCAGGUGCGAAAGCGUGGGGAGCAAACAGGAUUAGAUACCCCUGUAGUCCCUGUCUCUUAUAC
rnacentral:rRNA from 1 species